rnacentral:rRNA from 1 species
CUUGGUCAUUUAGAGGAAGUAAAAGUCGUAACAAGGUUUCCGUAGGUGAACCUGCGGAAGGAUCAUUACAGAGAAUAUGCCCUUCGGGGUAGACCUCCUACCCUUUGCUUACUUUACCUUUGUUGCUUUGGCAAGCCCGUCUACCGACCACCGGCUUUUUGCUGGUCAGUGCAUGUCAGAGGAUCUCAAAUUCUUAAUAUAAUAUUGUCCGAGUACUAUUUAAUAGUUAAAACUUUCAACAACGGAUCUCUUGGUUCUGGCAUCGAUGAAGAACGCAGCGAAAUGCGAUAAGUAAUGUGAAUUGCAGAAUUCAGUGAAUCAUCGAAUCUUUGAACGCAUAUUGCGCCCUUUGGCAUUCCGAAGGGCAUACCUGUUCGAGCGUCAUUACACCCCUCAAAGAUAACUCUUUGGUGUCGGGCAAUGCCUAAAGGCAUGCCUCAAAAUCAGCGAUGGUGAUAUUCAACCACGGGCGCACACACGUCGUCUAGCUGGCGGGAUGUUGACAGUCAAUUGAUGAAUUUCUAAAUGUUGACCUCGGAUCAGGUAGGAAUACCCGCUGAACUUAAGCAUAUCAAUAAGCGGAGGA